rnacentral:rRNA from 1 species
UUGAACGCUGGCGGCAGGCCUAACACAUGCAAGUCGAGCGGUAGCACAGAGAGCUUGCUCUCGGGUGACGAGCGGCGGACGGGUGAGUAAUGUCUGGGAAACUGCCUGAUGGAGGGGGAUAACUACUGGAAACGGUAGCUAAUACCGCAUAACGUCGCAAGACCAAAGUGGGGGACCUUCGGGCCUCAUGCCAUCAGAUGUGCCCAGAUGGGAUUAGCUAGUAGGUGGGGUAAUGGCUCACCUAGGCGACGAUCCCUAGCUGGUCUGAGAGGAUGACCAGCCACACUGGAACUGAGACACGGUCCAGACUCCUACGGGAGGCAGCAGUGGGGAAUAUUGCACAAUGGGCGCAAGCCUGAUGCAGCCAUGCCGCGUGUGUGAAGAAGGCCUUCGGGUUGUAAAGCACUUUCAGCGGGGAAGAAGGCGAUAAGGUUAAUAACCUUGUCGAUUGACGUUACCCGCAGAAGAAGCACCGGCUAACUCCGUGCCAGCAGCCGCGGUAAUACGGAGGGUGCAAGCGUUAAUCGGAAUUACUGGGCGUAAAGCGCACGCAGGCGGUCUGUCAAGUCGGAUGUGAAAUCCCCGGGCUCAACCUGGGAACUGCAUUCGAAACUGGCAGGCUAGAGUCUUGUAGAGGGGGGUAGAAUUCCAGGUGUAGCGGUGAAAUGCGUAGAGAUCUGGAGGAAUACCGGUGGCGAAGGCGGCCCCCUGGACAAAGACUGACGCUCAGGUGCGAAAGCGUGGGGAGCAAACAGGAUUAGAUACCCUGGUAGUCCACGCCGUAAACGAUGUCGAUUUGGAGGUUGUGCCCUUGAGGCGUGGCUUCCGGAGCUAACGCGUUAAAUCGACCGCCUGGGGAGUACGGCCGCAAGGUUAAAACUCAAAUGAAUUGACGGGGGCCCGCACAAGCGGUGGAGCAUGUGGUUUAAUUCGAUGCAACGCGAAGAACCUUACCUGGUCUUGACAUCCACAGAACUUUCCAGAGAUGGAUUGGUGCCUUCGGGAACUGUGAGACAGGUGCUGCAUGGCUGUCGUCAGCUCGUGUUGUGAAAUGUUGGGUUAAGUCCCGCAACGAGCGCAACCCUUAUCCUUUGUUGCCAGCGGUCCGGCCGGGAACUCAAAGGAGACUGCCAGUGAUAAACUGGAGGAAGGUGGGGAUGACGUCAAGUCAUCAUGGCCCUUACGACCAGGGCUACACACGUGCUACAAUGGCAUAUACAAAGAGAAGCGACCUCGCGAGAGCAAGCGGACCUCAUAAAGUAUGUCGUAGUCCGGAUUGGAGUCUGCAACUCGACUCCAUGAAGUCGGAAUCGCUAGUAAUCGUAGAUCAGAAUGCUACGGUGAAUACGUUCCCGGGCCUUGUACACACCGCCCGUCACACCAUGGGAGUGGGUUGCAAAAGAAGUAGGUAGCUUAACCUUCGGGAGGGCGCUUACCACUUUGUGAUUCAUGACUGGGGUG